CUUUGAAGCGUGGACGCCAGUCUGCGUGGAGCCAACCUUGAAAUACCACCCUUUAAUGUUUGAUGUUCUAACGUUGUCCCCUGACCGGGGUUGCGGACAGUGUCUGGUGGGUAGUUUGACUGGGGCGGUCUCCUACCAAAGCGUAACGGAGGAGCACGAAGGUUAGCUAAUCCUGGUCGUACAUCAGGAGUUUAGUGCAAUGGCAUAAGCUAGCUUGACUGCGAGCGUGACGGCGCGAGCAGGUGCGAA
rnacentral:rRNA from 1 species